CCUACGGGAGGCAGCAGUGGGGAAUUUUGGACAAUGGGCGAAAGCCUGAUCCAGCCAUGCCGCGUGCAGGAUGAAGGCCUUCGGGUUGUAAACUGCUUUUGUACGGAACGAAACGGUCUUUUCUAAUAAAGAAGGCUAAUGACGGUACCGUAAGAAUAAGCACCGGCUAACUACGUGCCAGCAGCCGCGGUAAUACGUAGGGUGCAAGCGUUAAUCGGAAUUACUGGGCGUAAAGCGUGCGCAGGCGGUUAUAUAAGACAGCUGUGAAAUCCCCGGGCUCAACCUGGGAACUGCAUCUGUGACUGUAUAGCUAGAGUACGGUAGAGGGGGAUGGAAUUCCGCGUGUAGCAGUGAAAUGCGUAGAUAUGCGGAGGAACACCGAUGGCGAAGGCAAUCCCCUGGACCUGUACUGACGCUCAUGCACGAAAGCGUGGGGAGCAAACAGGAUUAGAUACCCUGGUAGUCCACGCCCUAAACGAUGUCAACUGGUUGUUGGGUCUUCUACUGACUACAGUAACGAAGACUACGCGUGAGUAGACCGCCGCGGGAGGUACGGUCCGGCGAGGGUUAGGUUAAACGUUAAAGGUUAAAGUUAGUACGGCGUUGAGACGUUGCCGACGGACGACGACGAGGGAGGAGG
rnacentral:rRNA from 1 species